CCUACGGGAGGCAGCAGUGGGGAAUUUUGGACAAUGGGCGCAAGCCUGAUUCAGCCAUGCCGCGUGUGGGAAGAAGGCCUUCGGGUUGUAAACCACUUUUGUCAGGGAAGAAACGGCCUUUACUAAUAUUAGGGGCUAAUGACGGUACCUGAAGAAUAAGCACCGGCUAACUACGUGCCAGCAGCCGCGGUAAUACGUAGGGUGCAAGCGUUAAUCGGAAUUACUGGGCGUAAAGCGUGCGCAGGCGGCUUUGCAAGACAGAUGUGAAAUCCCCGGGCUCAACCUGGGAACUGCAUUUGUGACUGCAUGGCUAGAGUACGGUAGAGGGGGAUGGAAUUCCGCGUGUAGCAGUGAAAUGCGUAGAUAUGCGGAGGAACACCGAUGGCGAAGGCAAUCCCCUGGACCUGUACUGACGCUCAUGCACGAAAGCGUGGGGAGCAAACAGGAUUAGAUACCCUGGUAGUCCGACCGACCUAACCGACUAGUCACUAGGUUGGUUGGUACGGUCGUUCGUCGUCGUUCGUACGUAACGUAACGACGUAACCGUACGGUAGGUAAGUUAGUACCGGCCCGUCGGGGUAGGGUACGGGCCGGCCGACGGUUAGGUAAACGUACGUAAACGUAGUAAGUUAGUACGGCGUGAGACGUACGACCGACGGACGACGACGAGGGAGGAGGG
rnacentral:rRNA from 1 species